CCUACGUGCGGCAGCAGUGGGGAAUAUUGGACAAUGGGCGCAAGCCUGACGCAGCAACGCCGCGUGAAGGAAGACGGCUUUCGGGUUGUAAACUUCUUUUAAGAGGGAAGAGCAGAAGACGGUACCUCUUGAAUAAGCCACGGCGAACUACGUGCCAGCAGCCGCGGUAAUACGUAGGUGGCAAGCGGUGUCCGGAUUUACUAGGUGUAAAGGGCGUGCAGCCGGGGAGACCAGUCAGAUGUGAAAUCCCGCGGCUAAACCGCGGAACUGCAUUUGAAACUGUUUUUCUUGAGUACCGGAGAGGUCAUCGGAAUUCCUGGUGUAGCGGUGAAAUGCGUAGAUAUAAGGAAGAACACCAGUGGCGAAGGCGGAUGACUGGACGGUAACUGACGGUGAGGCGCGAAAGCGUGGGGAGCAAACAGGAUUAGAUACCCUAGUAGUC
rnacentral:rRNA from 1 species